GAAGUCGGCAAAACGGAUCCAUAACUUCGGGAAAAGGAUUGGCUCUGAGGAUUGGGCACGGGGGUCCUGGCCCCGAACCCGUCGGCUGUCGGCGGAUUGCUCGAGAUGCUCACGCGGCGAGAGCGGGUCGCCGCGUGCCGGCCGGGGGACGGACCGGGAAUCGCCCCUUCGGGGGAUUUCCCCGAGCAUGAAACAGUCGACUCAGAACUGGUACGGACAACGGGAAUCCGACUGUUUAAUUAAAACAAAGCAUUGCAAUGGUCCUCGCGGAUGCUGACACAAUGUGAUUUCUGCCUAGUGCUCUAAAUGUAAAAGUGAAGAAAUUCAACCAAGCGCGGGUAAACGGCGGGAGUAACUAUGACUUUCUUAAGGUAGCUGUCGGUGUCAAAACCGGCUGAUCUCGGGUAGGGGGUCCCGAACUGU
rnacentral:rRNA from 1 species